rnacentral:hammerhead_ribozyme from 1 species
AUCCAGUGACGAGUCCCAAAUAGAACGAAAUGCACGUUGUCCUGGAU